AUGGGAGCCGGCCCCCGGCUCCGGGUAAAACGGUGGCUGAGGCCUCGGGUCCGUGAGCCUCGCUCUCAGGAGGGGACAACGAGUGCGGGCAGAGCGGGCCUGGGGUCGGGUGGGGGCCGGACGAGCAGUCCCGGUUCCCAUUCACUUUCCCAGCCGGGUAUCCCGCGAGCACCGAGCAGGGAAGCACCCGGGCGAAAGGCGCCGCCCCGGAUCCGGCUGGACAGCAGGACCGAGAGCGACGCGGCGAGCGGUGCCCGGGGCUCGGGGCCGAGAGGGCAGGCGAGCCGGGCGCAACCCCGAUCCGGCCCCGCGAGCUCCCGCGCAGGGGCCACGCGGCGGCCGCCCCCUCGCCCAGCACUGGCACGGACUGGCGGGCAGCCCCGGGGCCACUCCACAACUUGCCGCCCCGCCGCCCCGGCCCCCCGCGAGAUCCCGGGGAGCGGAGGCAGGAUUUCCCCGGAAACGCACCCUCCCCGCCGCCCCGACGCCCCCGCGGCCCUGCCCGCCCAGCCAGCGCCUCCGCGGGCCGCACUCCCGGCCGUUUCCGGCGGGGCCAGAGCGGGCUCCUCCGAGCGCCCCGGCCGCGGCCGCCACUCACCCGAGGCCGCCGCGGCUCCCAGCCUCCGGCUCCGUCAGGCUCGGUCCGCGAAGGCGCCCGCCGCCCCGUCCUGGCCCGGCGCCCCGGCGAGCUCUUCCCUCCGACCAGCGGCGCUCCCUGCGCAGCGGCGGACGCGAGGCCACGGGCGGACGGGCGCGCGCGGGUGGCGGGCGGGCGUGGGGCCGGGUCGUCCCUGCGCCUCGCCGCGCCUCCUCCACCUCCUCCGCCGCCGCCUCCCGAGUUCGGGGCUCUGCUGCAAUGUCUGCGAGGCUGACUUUGAGCGCCUCGCUCGCCGCCCGCCCGCAGCCGCGCUCCUCCCUCCGCCGCCGAGUCCGCCGCGGCCCAGUCCCUCCCCUCGCCGCCCCACGCCAUUCAGCUCUUCAGCCAAGUUUCUUAACCCUUUUCUCCCCCUCCCUCCCAUUGUCACCCGGUCGGGAGGAAGCCGCGCGGAUGCGGGCCGCUCUCAGGAGUCGGGAAGCCCCCUCUGGUUCGUGGUUUUCCUCCUCGCCUGCUCGGGGGUGGCCCAGACGGGGCUGCGGGGCCCCGGGGCGGCGAGAGGACCGCGUCCCCGGGAGAGGGGACGUUCCCCGGGCUCCCAGCUCUGUCCAGCGGCCCCCGACCGCCGCAGGCGCCUGGACAGCUCCUCCCGGGCACUCGGGGAAGCGCUCUCGGGACCCAGGCCGAUCGCUCCCGCCUGGGCACAGCCCGGGAGCCGGACGCCCCAGGGUCCCCGCCUGGGUGCUGGCGCCUUAAGCGUCUACCUCCUCCCCUUCACCCCACGACACGCGCUCCCUGGGCUCCCUCUCACCCACCCACCCCCGAUUUCCACCUCCUUGUCAUCUGUGUGUCCUGCUUUAAUCUCGGGGGGCACGGGCGCGAACUCUGGGUCACUUUGA
ensembl:lncRNA